GCCUCGGUGGUGUAGUGGUAGCCCGAGUCCCCGGUAGGGUUGAAACACGAGUUCGACUCUCGUCUAAGGUU